ACAUCGGAAUGUACCCAGUAAUGGGGGAUAACGCUUCGAAAGGAGUGCUAAUACCGCAUACGCCCUGAGGGGGAAAGUGGGGGACCGCAAGGCCUCACGUUAUUGGAGCAGCCGAUGGCUGAUUAGCUAGUUGGUGAGGUAAAGGCUCACCAAGGCGACGAUCAGUAGCGGGUCUUAGAGGACGAUCCGCCACACUGGAACUGAGACACGGUCCAGACUCCUACGGGAGGCAGCAGUGGGGAAUCUUGGACAAUGGGCGAAAGCCUGAUCCAGCAAUGCCGCGUGCGUGAAGAAGGCCUUCGGGUUGUAAAGCGCUUUUGUCUGGGAGCAAAUCCUGGCCUCUAAUACAGGUCGGGGAUGAGAGUACCAGAAGAAUAAGGACCGGCUAACUACGUGCCAGCAGCCGCGGUAAUACGUAGGGUCCAAGCGUUAAUCGGAAUUACUGGGCGUAAAGCGUCCGCAGGUGGCUUGAUAAGAUAGAGGUGAAAUCCCUGGGCUCAACCUAGGAAUUGCCUUUAUGACUGUCUCGCUAGAGUAUGGGAGAGGGGGGUGGAAUUCCACGUGUAGCAGUGAAAUGCGUAGAGAUGUGGAGGAACACCGAUGGCGA
rnacentral:rRNA from 1 species